rnacentral:rRNA from 1 species
UAGGGAAUAUUGCACAAUGAGCGAAAGCUUGAUGCAGCAACGCCGCGUGCGCGAUGACGGCCUUCGGGUUGUAAAGCGCCUUUCGGGGAGAUGAGGAAGGACAGUAUCCCCGGAAUAAGUCUCGGCUAACUACGUGCCAGCAGCCGCGGUGACACGUAGGAGGCAAGCGUUAUCCGAAUUUACUGGGCGUAAAGCGCGUGCAGGCGGUUCGGUAAGUUGGAUGUGAAAUCUCCCGGCUCAACUGGGAGGGGACGUUCAAUACUGUCGGACUUGAGGACGAUAGAGGGAGGUGGAAUUCCCGGUGUAGUGGUGAAAUGCGUAGAUAUCGGGAGGAACACCAGUGGCGAAAGCGGCCUCCUGGAUCGUUCCUGACGCUCAGACGCGAAAGCUAGGGGAGCGAACGG